AUUUUCAACUCUCUCUCUUUCUCUCUCUCUGUUCUUCUUCUCUCACUCACUCACUCAUGCCUCACAUUUCUCAUCUUUCUCUCUCUCACUUUCACCCUGAAAUACAGGACUCAUUUUAAUGACUACCCACCAUUUUUGAACCUCUUUUUCUCUCACUCUUCUUCUUCACACUCCCUUUUCUCUUCAUUGCUUCUGUCAUCCUUUCCAAAUCUUCCAAACUAUAAAACCUCUCUUUACCUUAAUCUCUUAUAUUUCUCAUAUCACAGUUUCUCAGAUCUGUUCUCACUCUUUCUACAUUUCCUCAUCUUAGUUACAACCCUUUUG
rnacentral:lncRNA from 1 species